UCCAGGGCUCAGUAAUAUGCUUCUCAAACGCCCGGAAGACCCCAGUGAAGAAACCGUGCAGUGCAAGGAUCAAGAGGCUGGCGGAGUUGAGGCUGUUGCCUGAGGCUGCAGAGAUGCGGCAAGCGACUGGAUGGACCCCACGUGGGGCUACUGGGAGGUGGUUCCUGGAGGGCUCGCCCUGGAUCAUUGUCUUUCGCUAUCUGCACACAUGCAGGCCAAGCUGGACCACUCGGACCUGCUGGAGCUGAUGGCGUGCGCUACUCCUGCCUGCCUCUGCCUUCCUGGGUGCUGGGAUUACAGGCAUGUGUCACCAUGCUCAGCUGGAUAAGAGAAUCUUGUAGAGCUAUCAAAGUUUCUCACACUUGAGAAGACAAGAUGACUCUGCAGGUGUCAUCCUUGGUUCACAUAGUGUUGUGAGGAGGUAGAAGUAAACCAGUCAGGAGGGAGGAAAUAUUACUCCUGUUGCCUCCUCUUGUUCAUCACCCUGCUGUCCCAACCCAGGAUCCCCGCUGUUUGAAGAGGAAGUAACUACAACUUCUGGGGCUACCUCAGUUUGAAAAUUCUUGCUUUCUUCUACAGAAUAUAAGGCAAAUUUAGAGAUCUAUGAUGUUGUUUAGUCAGAAUUUCUUAAACUUG